rnacentral:rRNA from 1 species
AAUCAACGCUGGCGGCGUGCCUAACACAUGCAAGUCGCACGAGAAAGGGGCUUCGGCCCUGAGUACAGUGGCGCACGGGUGAGUAACACGUGACUUAUCUACCUCCGAGUGGGGAAUAACCUAGAGAAAUCUGGGCUAAUACAGCAUAACACUUACGAGUCAAAGCAGCAAUGCGCUUGGAGAGGAGGUCGCGGCAGAUUAGUUAGUUGGCGGGGUAAUGGCCCACCAAGACGAUGAUCUGUAUCCGGCCUGAGAGGGCGCACGGACACACUGGAACUGAAACACGGUCCAGACUCCUACGGGAGGCAGCAGUGGGGAAUUUUGCGCAAUGGGGGGAACCCUGACGCAGCAACGCCGCGUGGAGGAUGAAAUCCCUUGGGAUGUAAACUCCUUUCGAUCGGGACGAUUAUGACGGUACCGGAAGAAGAAGCCCCGGCUAACUUCGUGCCAGCAGCCGCGGUAAUACGAGGGGGGCAAGCGUUGUUCGGAAUUAUUGGGCGUAAAGGGCGCGUAGGCGGUUUGACAAGUCUGAUGUGAAAUCUCUGGGCUCAACCCAGAGUCUGCAUUAGAAACUGUCGGGCUUGAGUAUGGGAGAGGUGAGUGGAAUUUCCGGUGUAGCGGUGAAAUGCGUANAUAUCGGAAGGAACACCUGUGGCGAAAGCGGCUCACUGGACCAUAACUGACGCUGAGGCGCGAAAGCUA